ACUCCUACGGGAGGCAGCAGUGGGGAAUAUUGGACAAUGGGCGCAAGCCUGAUCCAGCCAUGCCGCGUGUGUGAAGAAGGCCUUCGGGUUGUAAAGCACUUUCAGUAGGGAGGAAGCGUUGUGUGUUAAUAGUACACAGCGUUUGACGUUACCUACAGAAGAAGCACCGGCUAACUCUGUGCCAGCAGCCGCGGUAAUACAGAGGGUGCAAGCGUUAAUCGGAAUUACUGGGCGUAAAGCGCACGUAGGCGGUUUUUUAAGUCAGAUGUGAAAGCCCCGGGCUCAACCUGGGAAUUGCAAUUUGAAACUGGAAAACUAGAGUGUGUGAGAGGGGGGGUAGAAUUCCAAGUGUAGCGGUGAAAAUGCGUAGAGAUUUGGAGGAAUACCAGUGGCGAAGGCGGCCCCCUGGCACCAACACUGACGCUCAGGUGCGAAAGCGUGGGGAGCAAACAGGAUUAGAUACCCUGGUAGGU
rnacentral:rRNA from 1 species